ensembl:lncRNA
GCUCUGAAACUGGACGUCCCACCUCUCCAGGUGUUUUUAUUGCUUUUGAAAAUGUCAGCUAUCCAGGAAGGCUGUGGCACAUUGUACCAUUGUACUGAAUGAUCUCGUUACUCUGAGCCCUUCAGGGGGGAAUGGCCUGCCAAGAUCACAGUCUUUGUGCAAAAUGCCUCAUGAGAAAUGAUGGAAACAGCCAAAGGGAUUUGACUGACCCUGCAGUGACUCCUUAACCCUGGAGCAUCAGCCUGAAUCCAUGCCUGAGCAGAGUAAUUCCUUAUCCCAGCUGCUUUCCUUGUCCCACAGGAUGGGCUCCUGACACUGAGAAAUAGCUCCCAGAUCAGUGGUCUUUCAGUUGUUUCAUUCUUGAGUUUUUUGGUUUUGAAUAUGGGCCCAAGGGUCUUUGGCCAGUGGGUAUCAUUCCAAUGGUUCUGAUGGGUAAUGACAAAUAAAACAAAUGGUGGGUAUUAUGUAACAGCUGACUGGCUCUGAAUGGUUUUGGCUAUGGUUCUGGAAAAGAAUGCAGGAGGGAUGUGGUCAACAUACAGGAAUGAAAUUGGAAUGAAGCCAUUCUGCAGUCCUUUGGAUAUCAGUCUUUCAGUAGGAGGUUAAGUAGGACAGCACUGGGACCAAUUCAGUGCCCCUCCCCUAGCCUCCCUGCCUCUAUGGCAAUGCUGAAGAAACCCUUAGACUUUCUUGCUUCUUUCUUGCAGGACCUCUGCUCAUCCCUAUCCAUUGACACCCAUGGUCUCCAUGGCGUUAUCUUCCUUGAGAUUCUCUGGGAUAAUCUUACUGUGGCCUUCAGCUCUGUGUGGCCCUGGUGACAGAACUGCUGGCGAAAUAACUGCCCUCUCUCCACACACAGCCUCCCUCAACUCAUCAAAGCAGCAAGACUUACGCAAGCCUCCCUUGACAACAGAACUUCUGUCCCAUCAGCCUCCUUAUCAAAUCUGUCCUGCAGCCCCCUCAGACCUGAGCGAAUACACCUGUUUUCCAGAUAAGUUCUCACCAUGGGAUCAAGGCAAUGGUGCACAGAACAAAACAGGCUGAACCUCUCCAAAUUGUUGGGACUCAUGCCAAUUCUUUGAGAGGUCACAACAAUCAAAUCCAACAGAAUUUAGACUCGCUACGGCCUAAACAAAAAUUCUUUAGUCCCUGUGGAACAGGAAAACUUAGGGGACACCUAAGAAAACUUUGCACAAACAUUACAGUGGCUUUUUAGAAUAACAAAGAUGAAAUUCUAUUUUCUCCCCAAUCCCCCCACCUCUAUUUGUUGCCUUGGAAACCUCACAUACUCUCAGAGACACAACCUGACCACAUCUCAGUCUAUUGAAAAAAUUACAACCCAGAUGAUAAACUUUUUCUCUGAUUACCAAAACAGGCUCAACUUCUGUAACCCAACAUGAUGUUGAACUUUCUUGCUUUCUUCAGUGAAUCUGCCCCAACAUCUAGCAGUAAUAAUGACACAAAAUAGGCAUUCAAAAAUGUACAUAUGACUUAUGCACAGUUUUGUUGACAAAUUCCAAAUACUUAAUGAAAUGUAGAUAAGUGCAUCAUUAAAUGCAUCAAAGUAAUUGAUAGAAUAAUGGAAGAAUUGCUCAACAGAUUUCUCAUUAUUUAAUAUUAUCCUUGUUGCUGUUACUUUUGCCAGUUUCUUAAGGUGCUAAAGGCAAGUAGGGUACUGCAGUUACUUUAAGUGUGUAUUUCAGCAUUCUGUUCCCCUUCUUCCAAACUGCUGUAAUCCUAACUUUUCAAGAAGUACUUUGUUGAAAAAUAAUUUCUGUCAUUGUAUCCCAUUUAAAAAGAGUAAUGUUUGUGUCACCCAGCUUUUCAGUUGUAAGCAACAGAAACUGCUUCUAGCUAAUUUAAGCAGAAAAGGAAUUUAUGAAAGGAUAAUAGUAGCUCGCAGAACCUUGGGUUGGGCCAGAGAAUCAGCCAAGCAUGAUGCUCACAAAGCCACAGUAAACCUCUCCCUCAAAGAGACCAUGGUCCCUGGAAUCGAGCCCACAUGCUGCAGACUGUACAGCUAACAUCUCUGCUGCACGUUGGACACUGCUGCCAAAACAGCCACCACUGCAGCCUCCGGAGAAAGAUGGGAGAUGUCAUCACUGUGGCCACCUUUGCCAGGACGUGUUGUGAGUGGUCUUGCUCCUUUGUGUCACCAGUUUCCAAUUCUAAAUCCAGGGCAGAAACAAAACUGAGAUUCAGAUCUUAGUUACAAAGGUGCUAGGAAAGUAGGUAUCUAAGCAUAUUUGCUCUGUGAGUGGAAGGUGUCUGUCUCCUAAUGUCAGAUGCUGGGGCCAUGAAUAUCCUCUACAAGACUGUUUUGUUAUUACUCUCUCAAGGAAUAGGAGAUUGAAAAAUAUAUCUAAUGUACAGCUGCUAAGCACCAUUAAAUGUUGUCUCUGUAACAGUGACACAGAAAAUAAGUGAAACUUAGAAUGUGUAUACAGGCAAGUAUUGGGGACAGUCAUGUAUAGAAAUGAAUAGGUGGACAUCAGGGAGGCUGUGAAAGCUCUGAAAGUUCAUAUUAAAUUAUGUGUAUUUUAAAGAUGUCUGUUGUGCAAAGAGCUUCAGAUCCUAGAUCUAGAUUCUAGUCUAACGCAUACAUAGAAUAGGCUAAUAAGCUAAGUGUCAGAGAGUAGCUUAUUCAAAGAGGCACAACGUACCCUCGUAGAGGAAGGCCUAGAACUCACACCUCUGAAGUUUGUCUACUGCACAUCUGAGUACAAGGCAUACUUUAAGGAUGUGUUUGUCUUAGAACAACAAUGCCAAUUUGAACCAAAAUUACUACAUGUUUAACGUAAAUGCAGAAGCCUAUUCCAGGCUUCGAUUUUAGCUUUGCUUUUCAUUAGGUUGUCUUGUAUUGAUACGAAUCUUACUUGCUUUCCUUAUGUCGCUUAGCAGUGACGUAGACACAUCAUCUCAAAGAAAGAAGGAGGUGAAUCCAGCCAGAAGUCAGAAACCCCUAGGUAAGGCCACCCCAGCAAAGCUGGCCAUGUGCAGGCUCCUAAAGGGCUCUCCUGGUUGAGACUGUGUGCACAGCUAUACAGGUCUUAUUUAGAAGACUUUGCUUUUUGUGCUGAAACCACCUCACCUCUCACAGCAAAUGGAUUACCAAUGAGAUUGCUAAUUGCAUUGUCUUGUCAUUUAUCCAGUACUCCAGGUGUUAUGAACUCAAAUGUCUAUUGGGGGUCAAACAGGUAACGUAAGUGAAGCUCUCUAAGGUAAGACAGUUGAAAGUGGAGGGAAACUAUAGUAAAGUGAAGGAGGCUUCUAGAAAAAAUAGAUGCCUACUUUACUUUUUACACCAAGAUAAAUUCGGGGAAUCAAUUUAAUCAAUAUAUAUAAUCGAUCAAUUAUUAUCUAUCAAAGUAACAGCUAAGUGUUCUUUAAGACUUAAGAAAUGGAGAUAUCCACAAGUAGUUGAAGCUAUGUUACAUUUUCUUACUGAGAUACAUGUAAAAGGAUUGGCUGCCAUACUCCAAACAGUCCAACAGAAGUCAGGAAAAACAUCCAGCCCCUUAGAAUAGAUGAAACAAAUUUCAAAGCAAUGAGGGUCAGGCAGGACCAUCAUUAAGGCAUGAUGUCAUGAUUUUAUUGGAAUUUGCUUUCUUAGUGAACACAAAAUGAUGGUGCAUCUUGCAAUUGAUGGUGUCUUAGAAAUACUGCAUACUUAUUUGUAGUUUGUGGUCCUUUGAAAGGACCCAUAAAAAUGGUUGUAGCGAUUGCAUCUGGGGAAUUGGGGAACAGUGUAUUUAUACCAUUUCAUAACUUUCAGAUUUUAUACCAAACACAAGGAUCAUCUAUUCAAAAAUCUGUACAAGUAAUAAUAAUAAAAAGAAAAUGGUGGCUUUUCAUGUGC